rnacentral:rRNA from 1 species
GAACGGGUGAGUAACACGUGGGCAAUCUGCCCUGCACUCUGGGACAAGCCCUGGAAACGGGGUCUAAUACCGGAUACUGAACUCUCGCGGGCAUCUGCGAGGUUCGAAAGCUCCGGCGGUGCAGAAAAGCCCGCGGCCUAUCAGCUUGUUGGUGAGGUAAUGGCUCACCAAGGCGACGACGGGUAGCCGGCCUGAGAGGGCGACCGGCCACACUGGGACUGAGAGGCGGCCCAGACUCCUACGGGAGGCAGCAGUGGGGAAUAUUGCACAAUGGGGGGCGGAAGCCUGAUGCAGCGACGCCGCGUGAGGGAUGACGGCCUUCGGGUUGUAAACCUCUUUCAGCAGGGAAGAAGCGAAAGUGACGGUACUUGCAGAAGAAGCGCCGGCUAACUACGUGCCAGCAGCCGCGGUAAUACGUAGGGCGCAAGCGUUGUCCGGAAUUAUUGGGCGUAAAGAGCUCGUAGGCGGCUUGUCACGUCGGUUGUGAAAGCCCGGGGCUUAACCCCGAAUCUGCAGUCGAUACGGGCAGGCUAGAGUUCGGUAGGGGAGAUCNNAAUUCCUGGUGUAGCGGUGAAAUGCGCAGAUAUCAGGAGGAACACCGGUGGCGAAGGCGGAUCUCUGGGCCGAUACUGACGCUGAGGAGCGAAAGCGUGGGGAGCGAACAGGAUUAGAUACCCUGGUAGUCCACGCCGUAAACGGUGGGCACUAGGUGUGGGCAACAUUCCACGUUGUCCGUGCCGCAGC